rnacentral:rRNA from 1 species
AUUGAACGCUGGCGGCAUGCUUUACACAUGCAAGUCGGACGGCAGCACAGAGGAGCUUGCUUCUUGGGUGGCGAGUGGCGAACGGGUGAGUAACGCAUCGGAACGUACCGAGUAAUGGGGGAUAACUGUCCGAAAGGGCAGCUAAUACCGCAUACGCCCUGAGGGGGAAAGCGGGGGAUCUUAGGACCUCGCGUUAUUCGAGCGGCCGAUGUCUGAUUAGCUGGUUGGCGGGGUAAAGGCCCACCAAGGCGACGAUCAGUAGCGGGUCUGAGAGGAUGAUCCGCCACACUGGGACUGAGACACGGCCCAGACUCCUACGGGAGGCAGCAGUGGGGAAUUUUGGACAAUGGGCGCAAGCCUGAUCCAGCCAUGCCGCGUGUCUGAAGAAGGCCUUCGGGUUGUAAAGGACUUUUGACAGGGAAGAAAAGGGGCAUGUUAAUACCGUGCUCUGAUGACGGUACCUGAAGAAUAAGCACCGGCUAACUACGUG